rfam:Lysinibacillus xylanilyticus strain DSM 23493 Scaffold2, whole genome shotgun sequence.
AUUAGAGGAACGAAGGCUAAGAACAUCACGUACUGUGAUAACGCCUUCGUCCAACAUCCUUUUGG